UUACCUGGAAAAUGGAAAACUCUCACUGUCGGCGUCGCAACCUCGAAUCCCUCCGUGUAACAACCGCGCGCUGCUACUCGUAGUCGAUUAGUUUUUCCGUGUGUUGAUCGAGAUGAAAAUGAAGCUCCGCGCCCGUGCGUUGCUGAUUGUGAUGAAGAACGAAGAUAUGUGUUCAUGUGCGUUGCAUCGAAGGAUGAAGGAUGAGGAUUCGUGAUGAAGAUCGAGGUGUCGCGUUCGUGUCGCUGAUGGUGAAUCUUGAUGAAGGUUCAAGAAUUAUUGUGUGCGACGUCGAUGAAAAGUCGAUCGUUGACGAUCCGUCGCGAGGUUGUCACGAUUCGUUUGCAUAUUACUGCUGCGUGUUGAGGAUCAUUACGGUUGUUCUGAUAUAAAGAGUGAUGCCGAUCGCGAAACUGCUUCCUCCGGCGAAAAAGCGGACAUGUGAGUUUUCUUACCUUAUUGAUAUCCUUCAGCUAUGAGUUCUUCUUCUUCUUCUUCUUCUGCUUUUGAGUUUUCUUUUUCUGUGGUGUUGCUGUUGUCUUAUGGGGUUUGUUUCGGCGAAUGUUGGGAUGAUAGGUCGAAGGAAUCUUGCCGGUAGGGUUGUUAGCAGGGUGAGGAGAAGCUAUGGAGGCUGGGGUUGUUGGUUAUGAUGGAGGACUCAGUUAGGUGUGAUGGUGGAGACGAAUGGUGAGGAAGAUGGCUCAUGGUUGAGAAAGUGAGAGAGGUUGAAGAAUUUGUGAAUUCUUGAAUUAUGGGAAAGAUGAUGGAGCUUGAAUUGAAGAUGGAAGAUGGUUCUUAUAGGAGAGUAAGGUUAGAGAGAUGGUUGGAAGGAGUUCGUUCUAUAGAAGGAUGAAGGUGGAAGAUGGUUUGAGGGGAUAAGGAUGGAGGGUUUUUUGUGUGAGAAGAAAUGUGAUGAAAGGUGGUAUGAAAAUUGAACCCCCCUAUGAGAGAGUGAAGGUAAGCUUUUAUAGAUUUCUGAAUUUCUUUCUCUUCUCAUUCUGUUGUGGACUUUCGGUUAAAAGUCGUUAAGAAUUGGUUAGGGAUGGUUAUGAAUCGGUUAGGCUUAAUGUGGAUUUCUGUUAGAAGUUUUGUUAGAGGGUUGUUGACAGUUGGGGGUUGGUUAGAAAUCCUGUUAGAGUUCAAAAGCAGUUAGAAAAAUUGGUUACCGUUUGGAGUUAGUUGGUUAGGGGUUGUAGUUGGUUAAUAAGCGGUUAGAAGGUUAUCACUAAUGGUUGAAGAGUGGAGAGGGAGAAGAAGAGGGUGAUGGAGUUGUUCGUAGUCCCUUGGAUAUCGGUUGAAGCCCCUCUUAUAUCCAUUGGAGAUUGAACUUGUUAUUCUGUUUUGCAGGUUGAGGAAAACAAAUCAGAAGAGGGUGGUUCAGUUUGGUUCCUGUUGGAGCAGUUCUCGUUAUGGCGGUUGGCCGUUAUGAGCGUUUUUUAUGCAGGUUUUGUAUUGGAGAGGUUCUUAUGAAGUUGAAGGUUUGUUAGCAAAAUUCAGUUGGGAAUUUUGGAAGGUUAUUUUCAGGUUUUGUUCGUAAUAUUCCCAUUUUCUUUGGAGUUCUGUUACUCUUUUCCUUUCCCACUUCCAUGGUCUGUUUUCUCCUAUCAUAAUCUCCCUUUUUUUAUUUCCUGCAGAGUUUCCCUCAGUUUUGAUUGUUGUUGCUACGGUUUGAUGGUUGCAUUGUUCCGAAAUGAACCGUGACAAGAGUUCAUUUGCCUGAAGCAUAUCAUAUGUCCGCAGGUAGGUGGGGAACGUUUCACACCGGUCAUGCAUAACACCUUUUCUCCUUCACCAGUGCGACAUUCAGACCCCCCGUGAUUAGAUCACAUGUCCGUAACAUUCCGAAUUUGUUCCGUAUUGCAAUCUAGUAUGUGCUAGAUGUCCCACUUAUACAUGAUGCAGGCGGCUUACG
rnacentral:lncRNA from 1 species